rnacentral:piRNA from 1 species
UGGAAAUUUCACGGUUGUCCAGUAUCUUAA